rnacentral:rRNA from 1 species
GGUCCGGCUAAUUACGUGCCAGCAGCCGCGGUAAUACGUAAGGACCGAGCGUUGUCCGGAAUCAUUGGGCGUAAAGAGUACGUAGGCGGUAUGAUAAGUUAGGAGUAAAAGGCACCGGCUCAACCGGCGUAAGCUUUUAAAACUGUCAUACUUGAGACAUUGAGGGGAAAGUGGAAUUUCUAGUGUAGCGGUGAAAUGCGCAGAUAUUAGGAAGAAUACCAGAGGCGAAAGCGACUUUCUAGCGAUGCCCUGACGCUGAGGUACGAAAGCGUGGGGAGCAAACAGGAUCAGAUACCCUGGUAGUCCACGCUGUAAACGAUGAAUGCUAGGUGUUGGGUGUCAAAGCUCGGUGCCGAAGUUAACACAUUAAGCAUUCCGCCUGGGGAGUACGCACGCA